rnacentral:rRNA from 1 species
ACGUCUAAGCAGUAAGGCUGAGUAUUAGGCAAAUCCGGUACUCAUUAAGGCUGAGCUGUGAUGGGGAGAAGACAUUGUGUCUUCGAGUCGUUGAUUUCACACUGCCGAGAAAAGCCUCUAGAUAGAAAAUAGGUGCCCGUACCGCAAACCGACACAGGUAGUCAAGAUGAGAAUUCUAAGGUGAGCGAGCGAACUCUCGUUAAGGAACUCGGCAAAAUGACCCCGUAACUUCGGGAGAAGGGGUGCUCUUUAGGGUUAACGCCCAGAAGAGCCGCAGUGAAUAGGCCCAAGCGACUGUUUAUCAAAAACACAGGUCUCUGCUAAACCGUAAGGUGAUGUAUAGGGGCUGACGCCUGCCCGGUGCUGGAAGGUUAAGAGGAGUGGUUAGCUUCUGCGAAGCUACGAAUCGAAGCCCCAGUAAACGGCGGCCGUAACUAUAACGGUCCUAAGGUAGCGAAAUUCCUUGUCGGGUAAGUUCCGACCCGCACGAAAGGCGUAACGAUUUGGGCACUGUCUCAACGAGAGACUCGGUGAAAUCAUAGUACCUGUGAAGAUGCAGGUUACCCGCGACAGGACGGAAAGACCCCGUGGAGCUUUACUGUAGCCUGAUAUUGAAAUUCGGCACAGCUUGUACAGGAUAGGUAGGAGCCUUUGAAACGUGAGCGCUAGCUUACGUGGAGGCGCUGGUGGGAUACUACCCUAGCUGUGUUGGCUUUCUAACCCGCACCACUUAUCGUGGUGGGAGACAGUGUCAGGCGGGCAGUUUGACUGGGGCGGUCGCCUCCUAAAAGGUAACGGAGGCGCUCAAAGGUUCCCUCAGAAUGGUUGGAAAUCAUUCAUAGAGUGUAAAGGCAUAAGGGAGCUUGACUGCGAGACCUACAAGUCGAGCAGGGUCGAAAGACGGACUUAGUGAUCCGGUGGUUCCGCAUGGAAGGGCCAUCGCUCAACGGAUAAAAGCUACCCCGGGGAUAACAGGCUUAUCUCCCCCAAGAGUUCACAUCGACGGGGAGGUUUGGCACCUCGAUGUCGGCUCAUCGCAUCCUGGGGCUGUAGUCGGUC